rnacentral:rRNA from 1 species
GACGAACGCUGGCGGCGUGCCUAAUACAUGCAAGUAGAACGCACAGUUUAUACCGUAUCUUGCUACACCAUAGACUGUGAGUUGCGAACGGGUGAGUAACGCGUAUGUAACCUGCCUGGUGGCGGGGGAUAGCUAAUGGAAACGAAAGCUAAUAUCGCAUAAUAGUGAUUAUUGCAUGAUAAUUAAUUGAAAGGUGCAAUUGCACCACUACCAUAUGGACCUGCGUUGUAUUAGCUAGUAGGUGAGGUAACGGCUCACCUAGACGACGAUACAUAGCCGAGUCGAGAAGGUGGACCGCCAAAACUGGAAUGAGACACGGGCCAGACUUCCACCGGAGGGAGCAGUAGGGAAACUUUGGAAAUGGGGGGAAGGCCGAACGAACAAAGACGGCGGAGGUGAGAAGGGUUUCGGGUUUGAAAGCUCCGUUGGUAGAGAAAGAAGAGUGGCAGGGUAAAAAGUUCACGCUGUGACGGUAUCUUAAGAGUAAGCGACGGCUAACUACGUG